UAAGGUCAAGCUACAAAGGGCGCAUGGUGAAUGCCUUGGCAUCAGGAGCCGAUGAAGGACGCGAUAAGCUGCGAUAAGCUUCGGGUAGACGCACAUAGUCUGUGAUCCGAAGAUUUCCGAAUGAGGAAACUCACAUAGGUAACCCUAUGUAUCUUUAAGUGAAUUCAUAGCUUAAGGAAGGUAAACCCGGGGAACUGAAACAUCUAAGUACCCGGAGGAAGAGAAAGAAAAUUCGAUUUCCUAAGUAGCGGCGAGCGAAAGGGAAAGAGCCCAAACCAGAAACUUGUUUCUGGGGUUGCGGAGUAGUCAUAACGUACGAUGAUGGUUAACCGAACACAUCUGGAAAGUUAAGCCAUAGAGUGUAAUAGCCACGUAGGUGAAAAUUAUCUGAGUACAGAUUACAUCCAGAGUACCACGAGACACGUGAAACCUUGUGGGAAGCAGGGAGGACCACCUCCCAAGGCUAAAUACUACCUGAUGACCGAUAGUGAAGAAGUACCGUGAGGGAAAGGUGAAAAGAACCCCGGGAGGGGAGUGAAAUAGAAUCUGAAACCGUGUGCCUACAACCGGUCAUAGCACUUUAUAUGUGUGAUGACGUGCUUUUUGUAGAACGAGCCAGCGAGUUACGGUAUGUAGCAAGGUUAAGCACUUAAGGUGUGGAGCCGAAGGGAAACCGAGUCUGAAUAGGGCGGAUAGUUACAUGCUGUAGACCCGAAACCGGGUGACCUAUCCAUGGACAGGGUGAAGCGGAAGUAAAAUUCCGUGGAGGCCCGAACCACGUUGGUGUUGAAAAACCAUGGGAUGAGCUGUGGAUAGCGGAGAAAUUCCAAUCGAACUCGGAGAUAGCUGGUUCUCCUCGAAAUAGCUUUAGGGCUAGCGUUGAAAGAUGAGUAGUGGAGGUAGAGCACUGAAUGGGCUAGGGGCCAUUGCGGUUACUGAACCCUAUCAAACUCCGAAUGCCAUAUACUUUAUUUCAGCAGUCAGACUACGAGUGAUAAGAUCCGUGGUCAAAAGGGAAAAAGCCCAGACCGUCAGCUAAGGUCCCAAAAUGUAAGUUAAGUGGUAAAGGAUGUGGGAUUUCUAAGACAACUAGGAUGUUGGCUUAGAAGCAGCCACUCAUUUAAAGAGUGCGUAAUAGCUCACUAGUCGAGAGAUCCUGCGCCGAAUAUGUCCGGGGCUAAAACUUACUACCGAAGCUACGGGUUAACGCUUACGCGUUAGCGGUAGAGGAGCAUCCUGUAUGGGCUGAAGUCAUACCGAAAGGAGUGGUGGACUGUACAGGAGAGAGAAUGCUGGCAUAAGUAGCGAGAACUAAGUGAGAAUCUUAGUGGUCGAAAACCUAAGGUUUCCUGAGGAAGGCUCGUCCGCUCAGGGUUAGUCGGGACCUAAGCCGAGGCCAAAUGGCGUAGGUGAUGGACAAUCGGUUGAUAUUCCGAUACCACUAUUAGCGUUAUUACCGAUGGGGUGACGCAGGAGGAUAGGAUGUGCCCACUAUUGGAUGUGGGUCUAAGUACUUAGGCAGAACAGACAGGCAAAUCCGUUUGUUCAAUGCUGAGGUAUGAUGGGGAGCGAAAUUAAGUAGCGAAGUAUCUGAUUCCACGCUGCCAAGAAAAGCCUCUAGGGAGCAAAAUAGUGCCCGUACCGCAAACCGACACAGGUAGGUGAGGAGAGAAUCCUAAGACCAGCGGAAGAAUUGCAGUUAAGGAACUCGGCAAAUUGACCCCGUAACUUCGGGAUAAGGGGUGCCUACGAGAGUAGGUCGCAGAGAAUAGGCCCAAGCAACUGUUUAGCAAAAACACAGGUCUCUGCUAAAGCGAAAGCUGAUGUAUAGGGGCUGACGCCUGCCCGGUGCUGGAAGGUUAAGGGGAUUGCUUAGCGCAAGCGAAGGCAUGAACUUAAGCCCCAGUAAACGGCGGCCGUAACUAUAACGGUCCUAAGGUAGCGAAAUUCCUUGUCGGGUAAGUUCCGACCCGCACGAAUGGCGUAAUGACUUGGGCACUGUCUCAACUGCAAAUCCGGCGAAAUUGUAGUGCAAGUGAAGAUGCUUGCUACCCGCGAUUGGACGGAAAGACCCCGUAGAGCUUUACUGUAGUUUAGCAUUGAGUUUCGGUAUUGUCUGUACAGGAUAGGUGGGAGACUUGGAAGCAGCUUCGUCAGGGGCUGUGGAGUCAUCCUUGGGAUACCACCCUGACAGUACUGAGAUUCUAACCGGGUACCAUGAAUCUGGUAACGGGACAUUGUUAGAUGGGCAGUUUGACUGGGGCGGUCGCCUCCUAAAAUGUAACGGAGGCGCCCAAAGGUUCCCUCAGAACGGUUGGAAAUCGUUCGAAGAGUGCAAAGGCAGAAGGGAGCCUGACUGCGACACUUACAAGUGGAGCAGGGACGAAAGUCGGGCUUAGUGAUCCGGUGGUUCCUCGUGGGAGGGCCAUCGCUCAACGGAUAAAAGCUACCUCGGGGAUAACAGGCUGAUCUCCCCCAAGAGUCCACAUCGACGGGGAGGUUUGGCACCUCGAUGUCGGCUCGUCGCAUCCUGGGGCUGAAGUAGGUCCCAAGGGUUGGGCUGUUCGCCCAUUAAAGCGGCACGCGAGCUGGGUUCAGAACGUCGUGAGACAGUUCGGUCCCUAUCCGUCGCGGGCGUAGGAAAUUUGAGAGGAGCUGUCCUUAGUACGAGAGGACCGGGAUGGACUGACCUCUGGUGUACCAGUUGUCCUGCCAAGGGCACGGCUGGGUAGCUAUGUCGGGAAGGGAUAAACGCUGAAAGCAUCUAAGCGUGAAGCCCACCUCAAGAUGAGAUUUCCCAUGACGUUAAGUCAGUAAGACCCCAUGAAGAACACAUGGUUGAUAGGCUAGAGGUGUAAGUACAGUAAUGUAUUCAGCUGACUAGUACUAAUUGGUCGAGGGCUUGACCUAA
rnacentral:rRNA from 1 species